rnacentral:tmRNA from 1 species
GGGGGCGUAAAGGUUUCGACGGGGGUUGGAUGGGCCAGAGUAGCGGGUCCGGGACCAUGGCCCGGUAACAACAUGGAAGCGUUAUAAACGCCAACGACAAUUUAGCUUACGCUGCUUAAAUAAGCAGCCGUCCGCGUGUUCCGAGCCUGUAGGAGCAUACCGGGCGCCGACUAAUCAGGCUACCGCGCCUCACGGUUGGCAGAGCCAAAGGGGCCGGGAAUCACAACUGUGCUAGCCGUGCGGAUCCUGCCUUAUGGAGCCGCCCCGGCGAAGACAAAAUUAAGGCUACACCCGUAGAAGCUCUCGCUGGUCUACCUUCGGACAGGGGUUCGAUUCCCCUCGCCUCCACCA